AACGUAGGUGGCAAGCGUUAUCCGGAAUUACUGGGCGUAAAGGGUGUGCAGGCGGGGAAGCAAGUGGGGUGUGAAAUCUCCAGGCUUAACCUGGAGGGGUUAUGCCAGACUGCAUCUCUAGAGGACGAGAGAGGGGGGUGGAAUUCCGGGUGUAGUGGUGAAAUGCGUAGAGAUCCGGAGGAACCCCAGAGGCGAAGGCGGCCCCCUGGCUCGUACCUGACGCUCAGCCACGAAAGCAUGGGGAGCGAACGGG
rnacentral:rRNA from 1 species